GACGUAGGGGGCGAGCGUUGUCCGGAAUUACUGGGCGUAAAGAGCGCGUAGGCGGGUAUUUAAGUCAGUUGUGAAAGACCGCAGCUUAACUGCGGGGUUGCAAAUGAAACUGGGAAACUUGAGUACAGAAGAGGAGAGUGGAAUUCCACGUGUAGCGGUGAAAUGCGUAGAGAUGUGGAGGAACACCAGUGGCGAAGGCGGCUCUCUGGUCUGUAACUGACGCUGAGGUGCGAAAGCGUGGGGAGCAAACAGGAUUAGAUACCCCCGUAGUCCCUGA
rnacentral:rRNA from 1 species